UACAGACCUGUUUGUGCUGGAAAAUGAUCC
rnacentral:piRNA from 1 species